rnacentral:rRNA from 1 species
CUAGUACGGCGAGUGAGCGGGAUGAGCUCAAAUUUAAAAUCUGGCUGCCUCAGGUGGUCCGAGUUGUAGUCUCGAGAAGUGUUUUCCGCGUUGGCCUGUGUACAAGUCCUUUGGAAUAAGGCGUCAUAGAGGGUGAGAAUCCCGUCCUUGACACAGAUCCCCAAUGCUUUGUGAUGCGCUCUCAAAGAGUCGAGUUGUUUGGGAAUGCAGCUCAAAAUGGGUGGUAAAUUCCAUCUAAAGCUAAAUAUUGGCGAGAGACCGAUAGCGAACAAGUACCGUGAGGGAAAGAUGAAAAGCACUUUGGAAAGAGAGUUAAACAGUACGUGAAAUUGUUGAAAGGGAAACGAUUGAAGUCAGUCAUGCUCGUAGGGAUUCAACCGGUUCUGCCGGCCUAUUUCCCUACUUGCAGGCCAGCAUCAGUUUUGACCGGUGGAAAAGGUUGGAGGGAAUGUGGCAUCCUCGGAUGUGUUAUAGCCCUCUUUCGCAUACAUCGGUUGGGACUGAGGAACGCAGCACGCCUUUAUGGUCGGUCUUCGGACACGUACGUGCUUAGGAUGCUGGCAUAAUGGCUUUAAACGACCCGUCUUAACAA